GUGAACGCUAGCGGUGCGCCUAACACAUGCAAGUCGAGUGCCUUUAAAAGCACGGCAGACGGCUGCGUAACACGUUGGUACCUGCCCCGGACUCAGGGAUAACCCCGCGAAAGCGGGGCUAAUACCGGAUGGUCCCGCAAGGGUAAAGCUUUUGCGGUCCGGGAGGGGCCUGCGGCCUAUCAGAUAGUUGGUGAGGUAACGGCUCACCAAGUCGAUGACGGGUAGCUGGUCUGAGAGGACGACCAGCCAGAAUGGGACUGAGACACGGCCCAUACUCCUACGGGAGGCAGCAGUGAGGAAUCUUCCGCAAUGGGCGAAAGCCUGACGGAGCGACACCGCGUGGAGGAUGAAGCCCUUUCCGGGUGUAAACUCCUGUUCUGAGGGACGAAAUUUUUGACGGUACCUCAGGAGAAAGCAUCGGCUAAUUCUGU
rnacentral:rRNA from 1 species